AAAGCAACAGGAUAUCGCAGGGUUGGAGAACGAAUCAUUUAAGGCAGAUACAGUUGUGUAAAGUCAGUUUGUUUAGGAACAUGUUUAUGAUGAAGCUUUUGAGUAACGUGAACGUACUCACGCGCGGGGUUGUGGGCGUGGCCUUCACACCUGUGUUCGUACAUCCGGGAAACCCUGAGUUUGCUCGUCGGUUGAAUGUCUUUCAGUGUUAAAGGUUAAGACAGUGGCCUGCUGACAGCCCCGAGCAGAUGAAACCAUUGCAACAGAAACUUUUCAGCACUUUCCUUCCAAAGUAAAACAGGUCCACCAUGUCACAACGACAGUCCCAGACGUCCAAGGGAGACAAGUCGCCUCUCCUUCUGGACAACAUGCUUUCCUCCCAGCUUCAUCUGGAGAGCCAGGCUGAUAGUUCACCCUCAAGCAGAGACCUCACUGUACCAGAGCAACCUUCACGGACUCCUGUAAUCCUCAGCACUCAGAGUGAAGCUGCUCGGAAGCUGGGAACCCAGCAGCUCAUCCCCAAAAACCUGGCCGUCACCAGUCGACCAAAGAACCGCCACCACACCACGGUGGUCACGCUGCCGGUGGCACGUGAGGUCCAAAAGAACAUCCAGCGUUUCUCUCAUGAUCCUGAAGUGUCCUGGGAUGACUAUGAUAGUGAUGAUGGUGGCUUGCGCAGGAACCGCAGGAACAAGUCGUACCGAGCUGCCGUCACCAGUCUCGAUGCAGAAGUGGUCUGGAAACAGGACCUGCUCCAGCCUGUUAGUGAGGAGAAGGAAAAGGAGAAGGAGAAAUCACCUAGCCCAGUAAUUCCCAGCCCAGGACGCAAAAGAACCUUGGGUAGAAAAAGGAACCAGAAGAUUGGUGGAUCCUUUAAGGAUGAUCCACGGUUAUACCAGGAGAUCAAGGAAAGAGGUCUCCAGUCAAACAGCCUGGGACCUGAUGAUGAUGAUUUCAGCCAGAUGCCAGAGGAGGACCAGGGCAUUGUUGUAAAAAACUACAAGGCAGCAUACAUGACCUGGAGCCAGCUUCCCCAGGUUAAGGAGAUGGGCAUUCUAGAGUCUAUUACACCUGAGGAGCGCAAGCGGCAAGAGGCCAUUUUUGAGAUUAUGACAUCCGAGUACUCGUAUCUGCACAGUCUGGGCAUCCUGGUACGACAUUUCAAAAGCAGCGAGGCUUUGAGGAAGACUUUGACCACAACCGAACACCACCAUCUUUUCUCCAAUAUUGCGACAGUACACAGCAUCAGCAAGCGAUUUUUUGAAGAUCUUGAAAGGCGUCAUCAAAUGAAUCCUGUCAUUAAGGACAUCAGCGACAUAGUCCAGGACCAUGCCACAAAUUACUUUGAGCCAUACAUUGUAUAUUGCUCCAACGAGACCUUUCAGCAGAGGACACUGCAGAAACUACUUGCAUCUAAUACUGUGUUCAAGGAGGUGCUUAAACAAAUCGAGAGCAGUCCUGAAUGUGGAGGAUUACCCAUGAUCUCCUUUCUCAUUCUGCCCAUGCAGAGAGUUACCCGUCUGCCCCUGUUGAUGGAUACCAUCUGUCAGAAGACAACCAAGCAAACAACUGAGUACUAUUCGGCAAGAUGGGCGCUAAAGGCGAUCAGUAAGCUGGUAAAGAGCUGUAACGAUGGCGCCAGGAGGAUGGAGCGCACCGAGCAGAUGUACACCAUCCAGAAACAAAUGGAUUUUGGAAAGAUUAAGCCAUUCCCAUUAAUCUCAUCCUCUCGCUGGCUGCUUAAGAGAGGUGAGCUAGCCGUGUACACGGAGGAGCUCGGGAUCUUAAAGAAGGCCUUCAGCCAUAAGAGCUAUUAUCUCUUCCUGUUCAACGAUGUGCUCAUUGUCACCAGGAAAAAAAGUGAAGAAAGCUACGUGGUGUUUGACUACGCCACUCUAGAGAACGUGGAAGCUGAAGAGGCGCAGGCUGACAGGCCCUACCUGAGGCUGGGGAUGAAACCCAACAGUGAGGGGCGCUGCGAGCACAUGGCUCUGGUGGCUGAAAACAAGACAAUGCUCCAUAUCUGACCCCACUGAAAACCUCUGAAAUAUCAAGAGGAACAUGGAUGGUCACUAGACAUCAAACAAAGAUGAGUUGUUUGAAUUUUUCCAAAAAGAAUCUGAGUAACUGGUGGAAGCCACCAGAGCAAAUGAGGGUUAUUCCAACUAAUACAGAUGUUAUUUAACUAAACCAUUAGUAUGAUAUUGUUUAAAAUUAAUGAGCUUGAAAUGUCAUUUUCUUUAUUUCAAUGCUCUGAUUAAGAAUAUUUUAAUUAAAAUAAAAAGAAUAUACCUAUAACAGGGCAGUGUGAAAAACUGAUCAUUUUGCAAUGAUCUUUUGUUUCCUCAGAGCUGUACAGUCAGGUUUCAACAAGAUAAUUUUUUUUUUUUUUUUACAUAUACUGUAUCUACACUCUCCUCCUCCCCCCAAUCCUAUAAAUGAAAUGUAUGCAAAGCUGCAGCAGCAUGCAGGUGCAAAUUAGUUUAGGAUUAAUUAUCCUGUUGACACAUCAAAUCAGUAACCUGAUGCCAUUUCACUAGUCUUGUUGCAUCAUGUUGUGUAUCUGAGAUAAAAAAAUAAAAAUCUGACAUGAUCACUGUCAGACAGUGCUAAUGCAUAAUUUUAAGGGUGCAGUUAUUUCUGAUUCAUGCACGGGUCUGUGUUUUGCAGGCUGGACAGAGCUCGCUGGGUCACUGCUCUACGCUGGUCUAAGCAAGGAGAAAGCUCUCCUAACAAAGAUGGACUUCCUCAAUAUGAAUCUACCAAAGCCCAUAUGCCCAAAGAGCCAGAUGAGUUGAGUCUCAAGCAAGCUGAAGUAGUCAUCGUCAUGC